rnacentral:rRNA from 1 species
AGAGAAUAGAUACCCGGGUAGUCCACGCUGUAAACGGUGGGCACUAGGUGUGGGAUCCUUUCCAUGGGUUCUGUGCCGUAGCUAAACGCAUUAAGUGCCCCGCCUGGGGAGUACGGCCGCAAGGCUAAAAACUCAAAGGAAUUGACGGGGGCCCGCACAAGCGGCGGAGCAUGCGGAUUAAUUCGAUGCAACGCGAAGAACCUUACCUGGGUUUGACAUAUGCCGGAAGCAUUCAGAGAUGGGUGUGCCUUUUUGGUCGGUUUACAGGUGGUGCAUGGCUGUCGUCAGCUCGUGUCGUGAGAUGUUGGGUUAAGUCCCGCAACGAGCGCAACCCUUGUCCUAUGUUGCCAGCGGGUUAUGCCGGGAACUCAUGGGAGACUGCCGGGGUCAACUCGGAGGAAGGUGGGGAUGACGUCAAGUCAUCAUGCCCCUUAUGUCCAGGGCUUCACGCAUGCUACAAUGGUUGGUACAGAGGGUUGCGAGCCUGUGAGGGUGAGCGAAUCCCUUAAAGCCAGUCUCAGUUCGGAUU